CACCUUUUCCACCUUUUCCACCUUCCCAUUCUCCUCCAGACACUAGCUACAGGCUGGAGCCUCAGCCAUUAGCAGAAGUAGAUGUUCAGCUCAAAUUUCUUAUCCGCUAUAUCUCGAUAUUUCCUCAUCUGUGCGCCCUUCUCAGGGAACAACCUUGGAAGCUUUCCAUUUUUUUUCCAACCUCACUGGUUAUCCUCGAGCUCUUUACCACGCAGUCCCAAAAAGAAUCCUUGCUUCCAGGCCCAUGUAGUGUAACUUUACCCCUUGUGCUGCGUACCUGAAGGCUUUUGAUUGUUUCUGAGAAUGGUGCAAACGCUGGUGGCUCCCAAGCAGGCAGUGGUGGAGGUGCCUCGGAGACCUGAGCCCUUUCUUCUCCAUUUCUUCCCUUUUUGUGCCAGAAACGCCUGGUGUGCGCAGAGGGUAACGUUCUCUCUUUCUGUCUUCCUUUCCAAUCAGGGGGAACUGUAAAGAAUAUGGGAAAAGCUGCUGGGACGUUGGUCUUACUCUUCUUGGUUUCGGGCAUUUUGGUGUACAAGAGGGCUGAAAUUGUGGACUACAUCCGAAGGUGGCAGCUCAGAAGACAGGAAAAAAGACGUGCUACCACUCCUUCUUCAAAAGAGGAGAGCCUGGCAGAGGCAGACAGAAGUCCUACGGAUUAAGCCAGAGCAGGGCCUCUUUGCAGGACACAAGCCCCCGAAAGAAGGAUGGAAACAGCCUCCAGAGGGCUCUGAAAGCAGCCCCACGUACCGCUGGCUUUGUGGGAACUGGCCGUGCUUCCCAAACCUGUCACGUUAGUUUUGGUUUUGUUCCGCUUUAAAUAACAUUACCUCCACUGAAAUAAACAGUUUUCCUUCCGAUUUCUGUUGAUGGUCAAUCCCUCAUCUGCUAGGAGCUGGGCUCCAGGCAUCUCAGAGGUUUCCAGCUCUGGUCCAGCCGUCUCUGGUCCUGACCUGGAGAAGGUGAGAGAGAAAACAACCAUUUAUUUGACCCCAUAGGCAUAAAAGAAGACAAAAAAUGAUGCAUUUCUCUUUGAAAUAAUCACCCCUGGACACACAGCUGCCUUGCGUGGGUCUGCCUUGCAGUGGGCUGCGGCCAUAGGGAUGUCCACGAGGUCUCCUGAGUCCAAAAGCUGAAGGAGAACAAAGAAGGGGAAGCAAUAUCGUGCCUGCACCUCACCCACACGAGCGAGCCGACACAAACUGCUGGCAGCAAUUCCUGUUCUGACUUUCAGUCUCCAAAAAGGCAAUG